GUGGCGGACGGGUGAGUAAUGCUUGGGAAUCUGGCUUAUGGAGGGGGAUAACUACGGGAAACUGUAGCUAAUACCGCGUAGAAUCGGGAGAUGAAAGUGUGGGACCUUCGGGCCACAUGCCAUAGGAUGAGCCCAAGUGGGAUUAGGUAGUUGGUGGGGUAAAGGCCUACCAAGCCGACGAUCUCUAGCUGGUCUGAGAGGAUGGCCAGCCACACCGGGACUGAGACACGGCCCGGACUCC
rnacentral:rRNA from 1 species